rnacentral:rRNA from 49 species
GUUAGUCGGGUCCUAAGCUGAGGCCGACAGGCGUAGGCGAUGGAUAACAGGUUGAUAUUCCUGUACCACCUAUAAUCGUUUUAAUCGAUGGGGGGACGCAGUAGGAUAGGCGAAGCGUGCGAUUGGAUUGCACGUCUAAGCAGUAAGGCUGAGUAUUAGGCAAAUCCGGUACUCAUUAAGGCUGAGCUGUGAUGGGGAGAAGACAUUGUGUCUUCGAGUCGUUGAUUUCACACUGCCGAGAAAAGCCUCUAGAUAGAAAAUAGGUGCCCGUACCGCAAACCGACACAGGUAGUCAAGAUGAGAAUUCUAAGGUGAGCGAGCGAACUCUCGUUAAGGAACUCGGCAAAAUGACCCCGUAACUUCGGGAGAAGGGGUGCUCUUUAGGGUUAACGCCCAGAAGAGCCGCAGUGAAUAGGCCCAAGCGACUGUUUAUCAAAAACACAGGUCUCUGCUAAACCGUAAGGUGAUGUAUAGGGGCUGACGCCUGCCCGGUGCUGGAAGGUUAAGAGGAGUGGUUAGCUUCUGCGAAGCUACGAAUCGAAGCCCCAGUAAACGGCGGCCGUAACUAUAACGGUCCUAAGGUAGCGAAAUUCCUUGUCGGGUAAGUUCCGACCCGCACGAAAGGCGUAACGAUUUGGGCACUGUCUCAACGAGAGACUCGGUGAAAUCAUAGUACCUGUGAAGAUGCAGGUUACCCGCGACAGGACGGAAAGACCCCGUGGAGCUUUACUGUAGCCUGAUAUUGAAAUUCGGCACAGCUUGUACAGGAUAGGUAGGAGCCUUUGAAACGUGAGCGCUAGCUUACGUGGAGGCGCUGGUGGGAUACUACCCUAGCUGUGUUGGCUUUCUAACCCGCACCACUUAUCGUGGUGGGAGACAGUGUCAGGCGGGCAGUUUGACUGGGGCGGUCGCCUCCUAAAAGGUAACGGAGGCGCUCAAAGGUUCCCUCAGAAUGGUUGGAAAUCAUUCAUAGAGUGUAAAGGCAUAAGGGAGCUUGACUGCGAGACCUACAAGUCGAGCAGGGUCGAAAGACGGACUUAGUGAUCCGGUGGUUCCGCAUGGAAGGGCCAUCGCUCAACGGAUAAAAGCUACCCCGGGGAUAACAGGCUUAUCUCCCCCAAGAGUUCACAUCGACGGGGAGGUUUGGCACCUCGAUGUCGGCUCAUCGCAUCCUGGGGCUGUAGUCGGUCCCAAGGGUUGGGCUGUUCGCCCAUUAAAGCGGUACGCGAGCUGGGUUCAGAACGUCGUGAGACAGUUCGGUCCCUAUCCGUCGUGGGCGUAGGAAAUUUGAGAGGAGCUGUCCUUAGUACGAGAGGACCGGGAUGGACAUACCUCUGGUGUACCAGUUGUCGUGCCAACGGCAUAGCUGGGUAGCUAUGUGUGGACGGGAUAAGUGCUGAAAGCAUCUAAGCAUGAAGCCCCCCUCAAGAUGAGAUUUCCCAACUUCGGUUAUAAGAUCCCUCAAAGAUGAUGAGGUUAAUAGGUUCGAGGUGGAAGCAUGGUGACAUGUGGAGCUGACGAAUACUAAUCGAUCGAAGACUUAAUCAA